rnacentral:rRNA from 1 species
AUUGAACGCUGGCGGAAUGCUUUACACAUGCAAGUCGAGCGGCAGCGCGGGGCAACCUGGCGGCGAGCGGCGAGCGGGUGAGUAAUGUAUCGGAACGUACCCCGUCGUGGGGGAUAACACAUCGAAAGGUGUGCUAAUACCGCAUACGACCUGAGGGUGAAAGGGGGGGAUCGCAAGACCUCUCGCGAUGGGAGCGGCCGAUAUCGGAGUAGCUAGUUGGUAGGGUAAAGGCCUACCACGGCAACGAUCCGUAGCGGGUCUGAGAGGACGACCCGCCAGACUGGAACUGAGACACGGUCCAGACUCCUACGGGAGGCUGCAGUGGGGAAUUUUGGACAAUGGGGGCAGCCCUGAUCCAGCCAUUCCGCGUGAGUGAAGAAGGCCUUCGGGUUGUAAAGCUCUUUCGGCAGGAACGAAAAGGUCUCUCCUAAUACGGGGGAUUAAUGACGGUACCUGAAGAAGAAGCACCGGCUAACUACGUGCCAGCCGCCGCCGUAA